rnacentral:lncRNA from 1 species
AGUCUUCAGUGUUUUUAGAUUGUCACGAUGACCUCAGCUUGACUAAGUUAUUCAUAGGUAUAUUUGACUUUUUGUCUGGUCGCUUGUUUCUUGGGCUUUUGGAAGACAAUUUUAAAAAUUAUUUUAUCACCAUUUUCAUUAUAUAAAUGGCUACUUGGUUUUUCUAGACUGACUUUAUUGUACUACUUUGGUGAAGUAAUGAUUGGAUGUAAGAGUCUUGGUGCGGCACUUUGGGUCUUUUAAGACUAUGAACAUAGGAGCAGUCAAGAGCACUGGCUCUUUUCCUAGAGGACUGAGGCUUGAUUCCCAGCACCUGUGUGGCACCUCACACCUGUAACUCCAGUUCCAAGGAAUCCAACACCCUCCUCUGAUCUCUGGGCAUCAGACAUGCGCAUGGUGCACAGAUAGACAGGCAGGUAAAACACCCUUACCAGGUAAUAAUAAUAAUUUUAAUAAGAUGAUCAUAUUAUCUAUAAAUAGAGAUUUGGCUUCAUUUUGCUUCCAUUUUUCUUUCCUCCAUGCUCAGGGUUGAACCAAGGAGCUUGUAUGUGGUAGGCAAGAGGUGUACCACUGAACUGCAGCCGCACAAUUGGAUCUCUUUCCUUUCUCUUUUUAAAUGUUCUAGCUAAGGAUGCAGGAGAUGUGUACAGCAGUGUAGAGAAGGUGUGUAACUUCUUCUUGUGUAACUCCUGAUAGUUGAAGAGAUGCUUUUAGUUUUCCUAUUUGGUAUAAUCUUGGCUCUAGUUUUGCUGUGUGUAACAUUUCUUACAGUGAGGUGUCUUCCUCUUCCUAAUUUCAGGAUAUUUUCAUCAGGGAACAUAGAGCUUUGAAGUCCACUUCUCCAUGUAUUGAGGUGAUCAGUGGAUCCUUGAAUAUCUAUAUUUUCUACAAUUAGUGAUUGAUAUCUGUGGAAAGAUGCUUAUAUGCAAAGAAUGAAAUUCACCUGAUUAUAGUUUGUGGUGUUUUUAAUAUGUUGGCUUGCUUUGAGAGUAUAAUAUUGAUUUUUUUUUCUAUUUUCAUCAAGGAAAUUGUGUUAUAGUUUUCUUUGUUGUUGAGCCCUUCCUGGUUUUGGCAUCAUGGUAAUACUACUACCUUUUAUGAAUAAAUUAGUAUUUCUUCCCUUUAUAUUUAGUGAAAUAGUUUGGGAAGCUUGGUAGAAUUCAACAGUGAAUUUGUCAAGUCCUGUGCUUUCCUUGUGGAGACAAUUCAUUUCUAGCUUGAAGAUGUUUCCCUUUUUCACUGUUCACAUUCCCUUGACUUUUCAUCUGUUUUGUUGUUGAGAAUUUUAUGCAUGCACAUAAUGCAUUUUGAUCAAGCCCACACACUCCCCAUUCCUUCUAAUUUUUCCAUCCCUCACCACUUUUGUUCUCAAUUUCAUUUGUUCUCUUCCAUGUUUAACCUACAGUCUCCUUAAUGCUUCCAGUAUAUACAUGGGUGCAGUGCCAUCUUCUUUGGCAUGACUAGCCUCUCCCUUACCCAGCAGGCAUCAGUUGCCAAUAGCUACUCAGGAGUGGGCCUUUCUGCACACCUCCCACCUCCAUGCUGUCAUUUUUGUCUCGCUUGUAUUUCCAGUCACAGCUGUUGUCAGUUAGUAGGUGCAACUGUCCUGUUGUAUCUAGCACACACUGUUUGGCUGUAAUAAUUCACUCUGGCUCUCACAUUCUUUCGGCUCCCUCAUCUGUAAUGAUCCCUGGUCCUCUGAGAGAAGAAAUGUGAUGUGUGUAGAUGCUCCAUUUAGAACUGAGCCCUCCAGAAUCACUUAUUUUCUACAUGUUGACCAGUUGUGAAUCUAUUCAUUAUAAUCUACUGCAAAAACAGUAAUAAAACCCAUCUUCUGUGAUGAAGAUACAUUUUUCUAUGGGUAUAAAGAUACCCUUUAACAGAAUAAUAGUAGGUUAGUAGAAAGUUCUCCACAUUAAUGCUGCCAGACUUGGGUUUUAUCUUGUGGGUUGUGUGAAAUAGGCCUGAAAUCCAGUCACAGUGGUUGGUUAUUCUUGCCGUACUCAUGGCUGUGUCUUGUCAGACUGAUCUGUAAUUGUAGCUCAGAGGCUUCUCAGCUGGGUAAACACAGCAUCAUCUAGCACUAUGAAAGCUAGCCAGUAGGCUGAACUCUCUAGGUCAGUAUAAGCUAUGAUUUCUUAAUACUCUGUGACUCAAUGUGUGGUGUCUUCAGUAAUAAGGUCUUACUGUCAAGUUCUGUGUGGUAACCAAGGACAAUCGCAAUAGCCUAUAAUAUUUGGAGGGGGAGGUCUAUGAAACCUCCAACUUUUGGCCUAAUUUUGAUAUUUCAUAUAUGUCUUGAAAUUCUCCUUGAUUUCUUAGUUUAUUGUAAUAUAAGUUUUCAAAGUGUCCUCAAAUCAUUCUCUGGAUUUCAUUUUCUGUGUAUUGUAAUCUCUCUUUUCAGCUCUAACUUUAUUCAUAUGAAUAAAUGUAUAAAAGAAAGCAUAAGAUAAUAAACAAUGAAGUACUUAAUUAAAGUUUGUAACUAUU